GGGGAGGUGCCAGAGUGGCUGAUUGGGACCGCCUGCUAAGCGGUUGUAGGGGCUAUACCUCUACCGUGGGUUCGAAUCCCACCCUCCCCG
rnacentral:tRNA from 1 species